rnacentral:rRNA from 1 species
UGAGGAAUAUUGGACAAUGGGCGCAAGCCUGAUCCAGCCAUGCCGCGUGCAGGAUGAUGGUCCUAUGGAUUGUAAACUGCUUUUGUACAGGAAGAAACAGUUCUACGUGUAGAACCUUGACGGUACUGUAAGAAUAAGGAUCGGCUAACUCCGUGCCAGCAGCCGCGGUAAUACGGAGGAUCCAAGCGUUAUCCGGAAUCAUUGGGUUUAAAGGGUCCGUAGGCGGUUAGAUAAGUCAGUGGUGAAAGCCCAUCGCUCAACGGUGGAACGGCCAUUGAUACUGUCUGACUUGAAUUAUUAGGAAGUAACUAGAAUAUGUAGUGUAGCGGUGAAAUGCUUAGAGAUUACAUGGAAUACCAAUUGCGAAGGCAGGUUACUACUAAUGGAUUGACGCUGAUGGACGAAAGCGUGGGUAGCGAACAGGAUUAGAUACCCUCGUAGUCCCUGAGCGGGCUGGCAAGGCGCAU